CAGUCGCCGCGGUAAUACGUAGGUGGCAAGCGUUGUCCGGAAUUAUUGGGCGUAAAGGGCUCGCAGGCGGUUUCUUAAGUCUGAUGUGAAAGCCCCCGGCUCAACCGGGGAGGGUCAUUGGAAACUGGGAAACUCGAGUGCAGAAGAGGAGAGUGGAAUUCCACGUGUAGCGGUGAAAUGCGUAGAGAUGUGGAGGAACACCAGUGGCGAAGGCGACUCUCUGGUCUGUAACUGACGCUGAGGAGCGAAAGCGUGGGGAGCGAUCAGGAUUAGAUACCCGCGUAGUCCCUGUCUCUUAUAC
rnacentral:rRNA from 1 species